rnacentral:rRNA from 1 species
CGUGUAGGCGGUUGGGUAAGUCGAGUGUGAAAGCCCUAGGCUUAACCUAGGAAGUGCGCUCGAAACUGUCUAACUAGAGUACGGGAGAGGGUAGCGGAAUUCCCGGUGUAGAGGUGAAAUUCGUAGAUAUCGGGAGGAACACCAGUGGCGAAGGCGGCUACCUGGACCGAUACUGACGCUGAGACGCGAAAGCGUGGGUAGCAAACA